rnacentral:rRNA from 1 species
UAGGGAAUCUUCGGCAAUGGACGGAAGUCUGACCGAGCAACGCCGCGUGAGUGAAGAAGGUUUUCGGAUCGUAAAGCUCUGUUGUAAGAGAAGAACGAGUGUGAGAGUGGAAAGUUCACACUGUGACGGUAUCUUACCAGAAAGGGACGGCUAACUACGUGCCAGCAGCCGCGGUAAUACGUAGGUCCCGAGCGUUGUCCGGAUUUAUUGGGCGUAAAGCGAGCGCAGGCGGUUAGAUAAGUCUGAAGUUAAAGGCUGUGGCUUAACCAUAGUAUGCUUUGGAAACUGUUUAACUUGAGUGCAAGAGGGGAGAGUGGAAUUCCAUGUGUAGCGGUGAAAUGCGUAGAUAUAUGGAGGAACACCGGUGGCGAAAGCGGCUCUCUGGCUUGUAACUGACGCUGAGGCUCGAAAGCGUGGGGAGCAAACAGGAUUAGAUACCCUGGUAGUCCACGCCGUAAACGAUGAGUGCUAGGUGUUAGACCCUUUCCGGGGUUUAGUGCCGUAGCUAACGCAUUAAGCACUCCGCCUGGGGAGUACGACCGCAAGGUUG